rnacentral:lncRNA from 1 species
AUAGAUCUUUAUCUGUAUAAAACAAAGAUCUCUGGGCAAUUAUAGAUUGUAGCCUGAGUUGUUAUUUUGUGUUCCAGUUUUCCCACAGGAGAGGGAGUUAACAGCCCAACAAGAAAAAUCGGCAAAGUCAUCAAAGGUGGAACCAAGGAAGAAUCAAAGUCGGAAGACCAAGAGAAGUCUGAGGAGUGUUCAUGCCUUAACUGACAAUGAAAGAUCUGGAGCAGCACCUCAUGGAGAUGCUGGAAUCUCUAGCACCACUACUGAAGUGAAAACAGCAGCUAUUAUAGACACCAAAUCCAAUAAAGAAAACAGAAUAUCAGAAACGGAUACUGUAUGUAUAGCAGAGAAGUCCUGCGGCACUACUGAUGGUAAUAUGAAAAUUCAAUAAUUACUUUGAUAUGGACGGUAGUUGUAGAUGAUGUUGCCUUUCCUUUAUGAAAAUAAUGAACAUUUCUUACACUGUUCUUUUGAUAUGUGAAAUAUUAAUCUCCCUAGUUCAUCAGUAGAACUAUAACCACAGAAUAUAAAAACACACUUAAACUUUUAUUGCGAUUCUCAUCAAAUGAUGUGACCCGAAGAAAAGCUGAGGUGAUUCUUGUAUAGACAGUAUGGCUUCACUUAGCACAGUCAUCGAGGUCUGAGUCACUCACUUUCUAACUUUCUUCCUUCCAAAUAUCAAUUAUUCCUAUGAGAACGAUGACUUCAGUAAGUGAAAAUGACUUCAGUGAGGAGAACAGCUUUCUUAAACGAU